rnacentral:rRNA from 1 species
UACGAAGGGUGCAAACGUUGCUCGGAAUUAUUGGGCGUAAAGCGCACGUAGGCGGCUUAGCAAGUCGGAAGUGAAAGCCCAGGGCUCAACCUUGGAAUUGCCUUUGAUACUGGCUGUCUUGAGUACGGGAGAGGUGAGUGGAAUUCCCAGUGUAGAGGUGAAAUUCGUAGAUAUUGGGAAGAACACCGGUGGCGAAGGCGGCUCACUGGCCCGUAACUGACGCUCAUGCACGACAGCGUGGGGGAUCAAACAGG